GACGAACGCUGGCGGCGUGCUUAACACAUGCAAGUCGAGCGAUGAAGCUCCUUCGGGGGCGGAUUAGCGGCGGACGGGUGAGUAACACGUGGGCAACCUGCCUUAUAGAGAGGAAUAGCCAUACGAAAGGAUGAUUAAUACCUCAUAAUAUUGUAGCUUCGCAUGGAGCAACAAUCAAAGGAGCAAUACACUAUAAGAUGGGCCCGCGGCGCAUUAGCUAGUUGGUGAGGUAACGGCUCACCAAGGCGACGAUGCGUAGCCGACCUGAGAGGGUGAUCGGCCACAUUGGGACUGAGACACGGCCCAGACUCCUACGGGAGGCAGCAGUGGGGAAUAUUGCACAAUGGGGGAAACCCUGAUGCAGCAACGCCGCGUGAGUGAUGACGGCCUUCGGGUUGUAAAGCUCUGUCUUCAGGGACGAUAAUGACGGUACCUGAGGAGGAAGCCACGGCUAACUACGUGCCAGCCGCCGCAGUAAGAC
rnacentral:rRNA from 1 species